UAGCUCAGUUGGUAAAGAAUCUGCCUGCAAUGUAGGAGACCCAGGUUCAAUUCCUGG
rnacentral:tRNA from 1 species